UACGUAGGGGGCAAGCGUUAUCCGGAUUCACUGGGUGUAAAGGGAGCGUAGACGGCAUAGCAAGUCUGAAGUGAAAGCCCGUGGCUCAGCCGCGGAACUGCUUUGGAAACUGUUAAGCUGGAGUACUGGAGAGGCAAGCGGAAUUCCUAGUGUAGCGGUGAAAUGCGUAGAUAUUAGGAGGAACACCAGUGGCGAAGGCGGCUUGCUGGACAGAGACUGACGUUGAGGCUCGAAAGCGUGGGGAGCAAACAGG
rnacentral:rRNA from 1 species